CUCGUGUCUGCAAUAAAUAUCUGUUUCAUUCCAACUUUAUAAUUUUUAUUAAAUACUUUAGAAAAACUUAGCAAAAUAAUCUCAAAUUUAUAUAAUGUUUUUUAACAUAACUUUACUAUUUUCAACAUAUUUCCAAGCAAAAGAUCAUAUAGAAAGUCCACGUGUUUCCAUGCGUACCCUCUCUGUAUUAAAAUUUCGAAUUUAAAGAAACUCCAACAAACGAUAAACCCUAGAUAGUGACGAAAAUGUUUUACCGCUUUCACGACAGCCGGCCUUUCCAAUUCAUAGGAUAUGCAAGGGAGCUAGUUGCUCUACUUAGAGCUUAUGCUGUGGAAAAGA